rnacentral:rRNA from 1 species
AUUGAACGCUGGCGGCAGGCCUAACACAUGCAAGUCGAACGAGUGGCGGACGGGUGAGUAAUGUAUGGGGAACUGCCCGAUGGAGGGGGAUAACUACUGGAAACGGUAGCUAAUACCGCAUACUAUCGGAUGUGCCCAUAUGGGAUUAGCUAGUAGGUGGGGUAAAGGCUCACCUAGGCGACGAUCCCUAGCUGGUCUGAGAGGAUGACCAGCCACACUGGAACUGAGACACGGUCCAGACUCCUACGGGAGGCAGCAGUGGGGAAUAUUGCACAAUGGGCGCAAGCCUGAUGCAGCCAUGCCGCGUGUAUGAAGAAGGCCUUCGGGUUGUAAAGUACUUUCAGCGAGGAGGCGUUACUCGCAGAAGAAGCACCGGCUAACUCCGUGCCAGCAGCCGCGGUAAUUC